AUGACUCGUGAGGAUCUUCCUGUAUUCAUGUUUGAGAACCUGAGAAGUUUGUUGCUAGAUGAGUGUCAUAUCAGCGACGACUUCCUCGGGCUGCAGCAAUACCUGCACAACUCGUGUAACCUGAAGAAACUCACUUUGCGCUGUUGCAAGGUCUUGGAUUCUAGGCAUAACAAGGAGAUGAGAGAACGCCUGCACAAAUCUUCUGAGGACGUGGUGGAUUUCAACUGUGAGAACCUUAGGCUUAGUGAAAUCAUAUACAGAGAUGGUGAUACUUCUCUCCACCUACUGGUCAAGUUUUUUAUGGGCAUGCGGACAAAUCUGCCAAACAACAAGAUCGAAUUCACUAAAGUUUGA
rnacentral:rRNA from 1 species